GAUAAUCCCAUGGAGAGAGGAGCCUGGUGGGCUCCAUAGGGUGGCAAAGAGUUGGACACGAUUCAAGCGACUUAGCACAUAUAAUCUAUAUUUUAAUACACUCUUUAGCUCCAAAAUCACUGCAGAUAGUAAUUGCAGCCAUGAAAUUAAAAGACGCUUACUCCUUGGAAGAAAAGUUAUGACCAACCUAGAUAGCAUAUUCAAAAGCAGAGACAUUACUUUGCCGACUAAGGUCAAGGCUAUGGUUUUUCCAGUGGUCAUGUAUGGAUGUGAGAGUUGGACUGUGAAGAAAGCUGAGUGCCGAAGAAUUGAUGCUUUUGAACUGUGGUGUUGGAGAAGACUUUUGAGAGUCCCUUGGACUGCAAGGAGAUCCAACCAGUCCAUUCUGAAGGAGAUCAGCCCUGGGAUUUCUUUGGAGGGAAUGAUGCUAAAGCUGAAACUCCAGUACUUUGGCCACCUCAUGCGAAGAGCUGACUCAUUGGAAAAGACUCUGAUGCUCGGAGGGAUUGGGGGCAGGAGGAGAAGGGGACGACCCAGGAUGAGAUGGCUGGAUGGCAUCACUGACUCGAUGGGUGUGACUCUGAGUGAAUUCCGGUAGUUGGUGAUGGACAGGGAGGCCUGGCGUGCUGCGAUUCAUGGGGUUGCAAAGAGUCGGACACGACUGAGCGACUGAACUGAACUGAACUGAAUGUGAUUAUUAUGACCACACAAAUUUGAGAACCAAUUAUUCCAGGCUCUGUUUGUGUUGAUGCUGCACAUAUAGAAGUCUCGAUGUUGUCAAGACAUGAGAUUCUGCACAGCUCGCUAAACUGCAGUCCUGACUCCACCCUUGAGCUGUGCUCUGCGAUGAUGAACCCGCCUAGUCUAGUCUCAUUGGACAGGUCUUUCUACAAGUUUCUUCGCUGCAUCUACCAUAUCUGCAAUCUGACCGUUUGUUUGAAGGUGAUGGGAUGUGAGAGUGGCAGUUUUAAUAAAGUCUCCAAGCAUUAAUUUCUUAAAUUCAGCAGAUUUAAAGGCAAGUCCACAGUCUACAUGAGAAUGUAUAGCAAUUUAUGCAUUGCAAGUAACUAGCAGCGUGCACAACUGCGGCAAAUAUUUAAGCAGAUUAGAAGAACUUUGAGACUUUUUGAUAAGUCCUGGAAUAACCCUGGUGAGUCAAUCUAAAUUCUUGACCAAUGUCUCAUUUCCCAGGGAGUGGUUGGUUUAUUUGACAGGAAAAUGCCAGAUAUGUUUUAGUUUUCACCGUGUUUUCUGUCACCAUUAUCAGAAUCGAUUUGAAACCAUAGCUAAAAGCUAAGCCAACACUUUAUGUAGUUUGGCCAAGAUAAUAAGAUGUCUGCUUUCUGCAAUGUUGAUUCUUGAGCAUAUUGAAAAUUGAUUCACAGUACCUUCUAUCAUCCAGCUUUAUUUUAUUCAUACAAAAACGCAGUGCUUUGGAAGGUAACAAGCAGAUGACCAGCAAUUUUCAGAAACCACACUUUAUUAAAUGAUAUAAUGUGUUUCAGGUAUUCAGCACAAAGCCUGAUGCACGGCAUAAUUGAAUUAAAUAAUAAUACAGAAAAAAAUUUGGAUUAAUUAACCUUACUUUAUUUCCUAUAUAAGGUGGCAACUCAACAAGACAGUAAGGCAUAAAUAAACACAUUUGGAGAAGAAUUUCAGCACUAACCUAUCCACAUGAAAGUUACAAAAAGCAAAGAAUAUUCCUAAAAAGAUUGAUGCCUAACAAUACUAUAAGCCUACUUCUUCCUUUCCUGAGAAGUCCGCCUUCCAAAGCCUGUAAAAGCUAAGAAUGCCAGUUCCUUGCUGGCCUGGCCUCUCUAGCUGUUAUGGCAUUGGCAUGUGUUCUGAUACUAACCAGUGGAAUCUGAGACCAAAACUGAUAUGGACAUUUGUUAAAGACUUUCCAUUCUGAUGGAAGAGAAGUACAAACAGGGACCAUUUUUCUUGCCUUACAUAUUUUUGCGUGUGAGGAUGUGAUGUUUGGUGCUAUGGCAGCUAUCUUUACACCAUGAGGACAGGUCCAACAGCAUUACAGAGAAGCUGACACAGAAUCCUGUUAUUGCUGAGCCACUGAAUGAACCCGAGCCACUCGAAUUCCUUUUUCUGUGAGACAAACAAACCUUUAUUUCAAAACCUCCUAAGUUCUGAUUAUUCUGUUUCUUGAAAUCAAAAGUUUGCUCUCAGAUACACAUUUAUAACAGUUAUACUUUCCUUUUAGAAUGAAAGCUCCAUGAAUACAGGGAUCAAGUCUAUUUCACUCCAGAUUACAGUGACUUUAAUACAAUGGAAGUUUAUUUCUCUCUUACACAAAGUCUGAGCUACUGUGAUGGUUGUGUGAUGUUGUCAUGUGAACAGACUCCUUUUAUGCUGUUGCUCUGCCUUCCCUAAGGUGCUGCCUUCAUCCAGAAAGUCAAGAGGGCUCCUUGGGAUGUCUACAUUCCAGCCAGGAGUAAGGUAGCAAAGAAAGAGGAAGACAGUGCCCUAUUCUUUUAAAAACAGCACUCAGAAGUUGCACCAUCACUUCUCUUAUUAUCCUAUCAGUCAGAACUUAACCUAUGAGGCACAGGGACAGAGAUAGCUGAGAAAGAAGUUGUUACUCUGUGUAGCCAGGUGCCCAGAUAAAAAUUCCACUAUUAUGGUGAAAUAAAAAGUGAGUAUUGGGACACAAAGAGCAGUUUCUUUUAUAACAUCACAAAAGAGAAUAGCAAGUGUGAAUAGAUUUGAAAUAUGUUUAAAAAAAAAAAAGCUACACAAUACCAUUCACUCUAUUAAGCCCUUUUACAAAAUUAUCUCAUUCACCGUUCACAGUAACUUUACAACAUAACUAGUGUUAUUAUUCCUACUUUGCAGAUGUGGACAAAGAAACUCAGAGUUUGAGCAAGUUGCCCAGGGUCCUACUCUGAAUAACUGAUGUAACUUGUAUUUAAAUCAGAGUUCAUGCUCUGAUGUUAAGAUCUGUCUGGCUCACUGCCACCUGUCCCUGCCCAACAGCCUUGCUCUAACCUAACAUUCUGUGUUAUGUUUACUCCCUCUUUAUAUUUUUCUUCUGAAUUCCAAAGGCUUACAUUUUCUACUGAUUACUUUCGUUCCAGUUUUUCGCUUCUCUCGUCUUACUCUCUACCCUUUGUCUUUAUAGCAUCAACCCCCAGAUGGUACAUAUCUCUUUCUCUCCUUAUUUAUUCCCUAAGGCCAGUUAUUAAGGAACUGUCUUCCCACUCCAAACUGACCCCUCUCUUUUCCCUCAUGUGAUGCAGGCACUGGGACUCUACACCCACCUAUCUGCUUUGCCCACUGCUCUCUGUUAAGUCUUGCUGAAAGGAAACACUAGAGGGACACUGUGAGCAAGACAGGAGGGGAGAAGGAAAAAGAAGAAGCUUCAUAGACAGUCCUUGAUUGAGGGCAGGAUUCCAUUCCUAUGUCUUCAUGCAGAGGUGCAGGUCCAUUACGGAGUGGAACAUAAUAUUUGCCCAAGUAUGGAUCUCUGUGAUAAAACAUAGACCCUCAAGGAAGCUUUGAACCUUGAUGAUAG
ensembl:lncRNA